UACGGGGGGGGCAAGCGUUGUUCGGAAUUACUGGGCGUAAAGGGCUCGUAGGCGGCCAACUAAGUCAGACGUGAAAUCCCUCGGCUUAACCGGGGAACUGCGUCUGAUACUGGAUGGCUUGAGUUUGGGAGAGGGAUGCGGAAUUCCAGGUGUAGCGGUGAAAUGCGUAGAUAUCUGGAGGAACACCCGUGGCGAAGGCGGCAUCCUGGACCAACACUGACGCUGAGUGAGCGAAAGCCAGGGGAGCAAACGGG
rnacentral:rRNA from 1 species